AAACGUAAGAAAUAGACUUUCUCUUUCACCCAAGAAGAGAAAACUGCAGCAAACUAAAACCCUAAAACCACAGCAUAAUGUUUGAUCAAGUAAAACGCAAACUUGCAAGGAUCAUUAGAUUCUAUGGGCAGAUGAGAUGUUACCGGACUCACACAGGCAAUGAUAUGCUUCAAGUCCAGAGAAGUACGGUUUUGAAGAUGAGAUAAAUAACCAAAUCCAUGUCCGUAGUGGUAAACCCUAGGUCCGAUUUUUGUCUAAGAUAAGUUACGGAGAAACCCUAAUAUCCGUUCAAGAAAAGAUCUCACAAUGUAGGUGAUUUUUUUCUUCUCUGGAACAAAUCCCUGCGCUACUUUUAUUUUCCAGCAAACCAUACUUUUCUUUAUCCCUGCUGCAAACCCAUUUCAUACUUUUCUUCUCAAACAACCAUGUAAUUCUAUUAGAUACGUAUGACUGAUUAUGAAAACAGUAAUUGUUGCCCCGGGAUGGUCGGCCGCCUGCAUUUUUGCAGCUGUACAUUAUAGACACAGAGAAUGAGGUCAAAAUAGAAUGAAUGCUAUUUUGAUGUAUUUGGUUGAUGCCCCAGGAUGUUUAGUGUGUCUAAGUGAUUUGGUGGUCAUGAUGGUGCCGAGAACUUCAUCAAGUCAGAGAGAUUCAAGAAGAUGAAUGUUGCGGUCGUUCUCGAUGAGGGUAAUUUAUAAUCUCUUCUGUUAUCAAUGUUAACUCAUGGAAUUUUGAAUACUACAUUUAUGUUAAGACUUGCAGGUGACCAAACUGCAACCAAUGUUAUCAGGAAGUCACCAAACUCUUGAAAAAGUAGUCCUUAAUUUUAUUUGAUUUGAUUUAAACAGCAAAAAAAUAUGGCAAUAGGGGUUUGCUACAAAUGCAGUGCAAAACAAUUGACAGUAUACCAACAAAAGGGACAGUGAUAAGUGGUAUAAUAAAAGGUUCUUUCUUCAUUUGUUUUGUUCCCUUCUUACACUCUUAUGCUUAUUUUGUUUGUGUAUGAAAUAUGCUAACAAAUUCUUAGAUUAUCUGUAAGGCUAUUCUUUGUAUAUGGAACAUUCUAAAAAUUCUUAGGUUACCUGUAAAGCUAUAAAUUAAGUGAAAAGUAGCAUAGUCAGGAGUUAAGAAAAAGAUUCUUCACGUCAUGGAAAUGACUAACAUUUUUAUUAUUAUGUUACCUCCCAGUAUAUGUUUUUUUGCCAACAAUUUAUAUAGUUUUCUUUUUUGCGGCAGCUGCAUCUUCUCUAAACCAGGCGUGACAAGAACAUGAUUUAUAUAUUAUAAUUGUGAAUAUUAUCUUCUUUUUGUAGCUGCAGUAGGGGUAGGUACAAAAUUAAUGACAAAAACCUGCUGCGGGAAAUGGUUCUAAGGCCUCAAAUACAGUUUUGAGUUGGUAUGCACCUGCUUAGGAAUUACUUAGGCAUUUGUCCAUAACUGGCGUAGCUUUCCAUUUUGAACAUUACAUCUCAAAUACUAGCUCGGGUAACAAUCUUUUCUUUAAAUUCCUUUUCUUAUAUAUAUUGAGUACUUGCUAUCUUAAUUAAAAGGGAAGAGCACAUGAUAUUCAACCAUGUAGAUGUGCGGUUCGACUCCCACAUAUGGUAUUCUUAUUUGAGUGGGAUAAAACCUUACAUGAUUCCAAUGCCAAUAUUAACUCUUAAUUAAAAGGGGCGUCAUAUAUAUAUCAUUUUUGGUCAUGACUCAUUGGACUAAUUAGAGUUGCACCUAAUUGCCAGUUUAAUGUAUCGCAACGGGGCGGUGUGUAGCACGGUUAAUUGCCAGUUUUGGUAAAAGAAAACUAUAUAAAAUUAUGAGAGAAGAUAUAUGCCCGUAGCGUAUUGAAAAUCUUAGUGAAGGUAGUUUACAUAUUCAAAUUACU